AUUAAUACCCCAUAAUAUAUUUGAUAAGGCAUCUUAUUAAUAUUAAAGCUUCGGCACUUGAUGAUGGGUGUGCGGCUGAUUAGAUAGUUGGCGGGUAACGGCCCACCAAGUCUACGAUCAGUAGCUGAUGUGAGAGCAUGAUCAGCCACACGGGCACUGAGACACGGGCCCGACUCCUACGGGAGGCAGCAGUAAGGAAUAUUGGACAAUGGACGAAAGUCUGAUCCAGCCAUGCCGCGUGAGGGAUUAAGGUCCUCUGGAUUGUAAACUUCUUUUAUAUGGGACGAAAAAAGGGCAUUCUUGUUCACUUGACGGUACCAUAUGAAUAAGCACCGGCUAACUCCGUG
rnacentral:rRNA from 1 species